CAGGCUUUUAUCACUUUUUCCCCUAGAGCUCAUCUAAAACCUAAAAUGGCGGCUUUCGUACUGAGAGGCGCUUUCAGGAGCAGCCUAACCUGUUGGACUGUUGGACCUACUUUCCCUUAUUUUCUUCAUGCUGUAUUUCGCUAGCAAACGUUGUAGUUUUGAUAAACUGAUCAAUUUUAACAUGCUCAUUGUAGGCUAGAUUUAAAAAAAAUUUUUUUAAUGUCCUUUAUGUUUCAGAUGAGGACUUCUGGGCAAUAUAAUACUUAUCAUUUGUUUUGAAAGUGCAUUGUUCUGUUCAGAGGUCUCCUUUAGACUUGGGACUUUCUCCAUGCUCUUGCAAAUGAAGUCAGUCCUUUUGGGAAGAAAUUAAGAGCUAUCUGUUUUAAUGUCUACUUCUUUGCUCAAACAGAAGCCUGGUCUCUGGUGAUGAGGUAGGAACAAGGCAAAUUUCUUUCUGAGUGACAGUAAGUUGUGGAGGGGCAAGUGCAGCCAGAUGUCAUCAGAGUUUGCUUUUCUCUCUUCACAACCCAGGACAAGGAUGGUCAGGGCCCCAGUGUUUUCCAUGCACCACACCCAAUAAAUUAUACAUUCUACCAGUGGGGCUGAAAGGGCUGGAACUCCUACCUUUCAACCACACUUGCCCAGGACUCUCAACCCUGUUAACAGGCAGCUGGGGGCUGGAUAAGAAACUGUUCCUCCUGGGAGGAAAGCCCUCUGAAUUGGGUCCUGGUGGGAGGGGUGGAAAGGGAGCCCUGUGUUCUUGGUUGCAGGAAUCUGGAGUAGAGAUUCCCUUUCCUUGAGCUCAAGAUGAGAGAGGGAGGGAAGGGGAGUGGUCUUGGUUCA